UUGCUGUGAUGAUGAACUUAGCUCACUUUGAUCCAAUGUGAAACGACAUGAACUUCUGAGCAAC
rnacentral:snoRNA from 1 species